rnacentral:rRNA from 1 species
GAUGAACGCUGGCGGCGUGCCUAAUACAUGCCAGUAGAACGCUGAAGGCGGAGCUUGCUCUUCUGGAUGAGUUGCGAACGGGUGAGUAACGCGUAGGUAACCUGCCUGGUAGCGGGGGAUAACUAUUGGAAACGAUAGCUAAUACCGCAUGACAACAGUUAUUGCAUGAUAACUGUUUAAAAGGGGCAACUGCUCCACUACCAGAUGGACCUGCGUUGUCUUAGCUAGUUGGUGAGGUAACGGCUAACCAAGGCGAAGAUACAUAGCCGACCUGAGAGGGGGGUCGGCCACACUGGGAAUUGGACACGGCCCAGACUCCUACGGGAGGCAGCAGUAGGGAAUCGGCGGCAAUGGACGGAAGUCUGACCGAUCAACGCCGCGUGAGUGAAGAAGGUUUUCGGAUCGUAAAGCGCUGUUGUAUGAGAAGAACGAGUGUGAGAGUGGAAAGUUCACACUGUGACGGUAUCUUACCAGAAAGGGACGGCUAACUACGUG